rnacentral:lncRNA from 1 species
GCCGAGCAGAGGGCAUUGCUUUUCAAAUAGAGAUAGGGCGCAGCCAGGCACCUGUACACAGGAAGGGACUUCAGGGGAGGUGACCCGCCCUGCAGGAGGGACAGCCUGUGUCUGAUCCCUGGUGCUGGCUGCUGGGUUCCCCAGGGACGUUUUCCACCUCCCCAGACAAGUACCGGCUGCUGCCCGCCUGCUGGGCUGACCUCCUGGGCCCAGAAGCUGCAGGGCUUUGGGGAUAUUUAAUUCUGGAAACGUUCCCAUGGAAGUCCUAUGUUACAAUGUGGACAGGACGGCUUGAGAUGCUGGUCUAUAAAUGGUUGAUAAAAUGGAAGGCUUUUGGAUGACUCCUGUUUAUGGACUGGAAAUUCGGAAGGCCGGGAUGAGGCGCUGGUUGGACACGUGCAGACCAUUUGUCCCAAACCCAGUGAGAAAUGGACCUGGGCAUCAAGUAGGGAUGGAGAGCUGAUUUCCACUCCCGGAGGAAGCCGUCUGGACUGGAGUCCACGCAGUUUCACGCACUUCCCUCUGAAUGAGAUGGACCUGGAGGCCCAGCCUCAGUGGUUCACUUCCGCUUUGUGGGAGGAACAUAAAAUAGAACACAAAUUUCCAUGGGCAGCUGGACCCAAAAUGGGAAAGGCCACGGCGGGAGGAACUCUGGACGUGAACUCGUCCUAGGAGAGGAAUGUGCACCAAUGGAGCCCCCACUCUCCAUUCACUGAAAAGAUAUACAAGGAAUGUUUGGGAGGAGGAAGUAACGGUUAGGGUAAAGAGAUGCAGAGAGCUACAAGGCUGAGCGUUUGAAGCGUUUGUGCUGGAACAGAGGGAGCCGGUCAUUUCAGGUGUUGAAAGCUUACCUGAAGUCUACUUUUGCUUAAAGAUAUCGGAGUCACGGUAGCUUUCGCCCGAGGAGACCAGGUUGGUAUGGGGUACCUGUGUGUCCGUUGGCUUAUCUUGGGGUGGCCCUGGGGUGGACAAAGUCGCAUCCAUUUUGGGUUCCCUUGUGGAGAGGGCAGGUGUGAUGGCAGCUGUUGAAGACUUACCAGGUAGGUCUUCCUGAUUUGGGGCCAAUCCCUGUAUGUUAGCUGGAAACCUCAGCACCCUCAUUAAUAAGAAAGGUCAAUAAUAACAUCUACCUGUGGGAUGCGGUGGGACCCGGAGAUCAGGUGUGUAAAGUGAUGUUCUGGCACAUAAUUCAAAACAAUUUAAAUAUGCAUUUCUUUGAC